AAACACACACACACACACACACACACAUAUAUAUAUAUAUGUAUGUAUAUGUGUGUGUGUGUGUGUGUGUGUGUGUGGUGUGUGUGU